UACGUAGGGUGCAAGCGUUAAUCGGAAUUACUGGGCGUAAAGCGUGCGCAGGCGGUUGUGCAAGACAGAUGUGAAAUCCCCGGGCUUAACCCUGGGAACUGCAUUUGUGACUGCACAGCUGGAGUGCGGCAGAGGGGGAUGGAAUUCCGCGUGUAGCAGUGAAAUGCGUAGAUAUGCGGAGGAACACCGAUGGCGAAGGCAAUCCCCCUGGGCCUGCACUGACGCUCAUGCACGAAAGCGUGGGGAGCAAACAGG
rnacentral:rRNA from 1 species